GUGCCCGUAGCUCAGCAGGAUAGAGUAAUGGAAUCCGAGUCCAGGGGUCGCAGGUUCGAAUCCUGUCGGGCACGCCA
rnacentral:tRNA from 1 species